rfam:TPA: Bos taurus chromosome X, whole genome shotgun sequence.
AGUCAAGUGGUUUAGUGGAAAGAACAGUGGAUUAGAAGUCAAGAGGACUGGAUUCUAGCUCCAGCUUCACCA